ensembl:lncRNA
AUGGCGGUAUUUUUCAGUCGGUGUCUGCAGGAGCUUCCAAAAAUGACGUUCAUCGGAUAUGUAAGGAGACCAGUAAAGCCCCCUCUAGCAAGUUGGAGAAGGGCUUUAAAUUGUAUGCCUCGUCAUACAUACACAACUACGAAGAUUGGACUUUCUGAUUCAUCUCCUGUUGUGCUGACACACACAUGCUGUUCAUGUGUCGCAGGCACUGCCCUAUGCAACCAUAUAGUGGCUUUGCUUUUUCAAACUGCACAUUUUUCUCAGCUCAGUGUGCCAGUCGUUCCCCCUGUGCACAGCUGUACUGAAACUGAACAGCGCUGGCACAAACCUCGGACAAUCGGUGUAAAGCCAGGACCAAUCAACAACAUGGUGAUCACAAAACCUGUGCCAAAUCGAACAUCUCAAGGUGGAGUUAGGAGUGGACUCUACAGGGGCAUGGUGGGCCCUUUACCGGAUCCAUGCAUGUUUAGAGUGACAGAGGCCUAUGAAAAAUUCAGCCUUGAAGACAAACCACUGGUGACCACUAUGGGCAUGGCACCCCACAAGCCAGCUGUGCAGUGUGCAUUUGGUAUGGUGCAGGAAGGCAGUGUUCUGUCAUAUCAGCAGCCUGUUUUACCAUCAUGACACAUCACUCUCCACCCUGAUGUGCCAUCAACCCCACUUCUUCCUCUAAAAGACCACCACCUUGAUGCACCCACCUGUGCUUUUGUGUGCACUGAACAGGAACUCUUUCACCUGAAGU